GGGUUAGUAGGUUGGUCAUGCCUCUGGUAUGCACUGGUCUCACUGAUUCCUCCUUCCUGAUGAGCCCUAAUGCCAUUUAUUUGGUGUUUUGGGGAAUUUGGACUGUUACUUUGAAAAAAUUAGAGUGUUUAAAGCAAGCUAACGCUUGAAUACAUUAGCAUGAAAUAAUGAAAUAGGACGUUCGAUCCUAUUUUGUUGGUUUCUAGGAUUGACGUA
rnacentral:misc_RNA from 1 species